rnacentral:lncRNA from 1 species
AGACCAACCAGAACAGCUGCCAACAUGAAGCUUCUGGUGUGUGCCCUCGUACUGGUGCUGGUGUGCAGUGAGACUGUGCAUUCCCUCAAGUGUUUCACUUGUGUGAACGGGAACUGUAAGACUGCUACAGAAUGCCCAGAAUCAAGCAACUUCUGCAAAACCGUGGUGGGAUGUGAGUACUCUGCUGACUUUUAUACUCUAAAAAAUCAGGAAGAAAGAUGUACAGACAGUGAAAGCUGUUCUGCACUCACUAUAUUCACUAUAUUAUGUUUUUUUCUCCUUUAGACGACUCCCUCAGUCGGACCUGUGAGGAGUUUUGUGUGCCUGGAGUUAAUAUCUACUGCUGCCAGGAGGAUCUGUGUGGCUGAGACCCAGCUAACCUCUGCAAUUCUGCUGAAUCAUGAGCUUAAUCAAAGAGUUAUAAUAAUAAUAACCAUAUAAAAAUGACCAUAAUCCUCCUAAUUAACUGUAUCCAAUGAUUCUUAAUUCUUAAAUAAAAGCCUGCAGCAUCUAUGUUCUUCUUUUAGA